rnacentral:rRNA from 1 species
GAGAGUUAAAUAGUACGUGAAAUUGUUGAAAGGGAAACGAUUGAAGUCAGUCAUGCUAGUGAAAAAUCAGUUUGACGGGUUUUGAGUUCAGGAGUAGAGGCAGGGUCAAACCGUUUCUUUUUUGAACUUGGGAUUUGUUAGAUGUACUUUUUCUUUGGCAGGUCAGCGUCGAUUUCGAAGGUUGUAAAAUACUUGGGGGAAAGUAACUCUGCUUCGGGAGAGUAUUAUAGACCCUGGGGGAUGCAGCCUGCGGGAUCGAGGAUUGCAGCAAAUGCCUUUGGCUUGUCGCCUGAUCUCUGGAUGUUACCUCGCUUUUGACAACAUUCUUGCCACUUGUGGGUACUAAUGCCCAUUAGGUUAGAGCGAUCAAAAAUUUUGCUAAGGAUGCUGACGUAAUGGCUUUAAACGA